AAGUCUCUAUUAUUAUCCUCUGAUAUGCAUGGAGACAUGGCAUCAAUAAUGGGAGCAUACAUGCCAAGCCUUCCUUGAGAAAAAUCCUGAAAAUAUUUCUCUGUUACACCACGAACUUGCAAUAUUCUGAAUUUCCAAAUCAUUUUCACCUUGUUCCUACCACUAGUUGUCACAACCAAAAAGCUUUUGCUCUUUGUUUCCAAAAUACUUCCUCUUGGACGAUCAAAGAAGCGAGUCUCUUCGUUUUCACUUUCAAACUGUUAAACAGCGACUCCAUCCCUUCUCAAUCUUAAUCUUUCCAAAUUCACAUUGCUUGCAUAUGUGAUAUGUCAAAGUCUUAUUUGAAGUGCAUAUGAAUCCUUCUACUUGAUAUUCGCAAAUGUAACACCUCAAUAUUUUGUAUACAUUGUAUAUUUUUCUUAGUAAUUUUUUUGGGC
rnacentral:lncRNA from 1 species